CUGGAGAGGAUGCAGGGGACAGGAGGUUUCUUUGUUAGUAUCACCUGAGAGCUUGGGCUUUAUCCUGGGAGUUAUAUGGAGCCUCUGAGGCUCACUUGGGCAGCUGACUGGAGGAUGGAUCCAAGGUGGAUGGCACUGGAAUCCGGGAGGCUACUCGAGCAGCUGUUGCAAAAUCUGGUAAGGAAGGAUGAAGCUCGUGCUCAGGCAGGGAGCAAGUUCGUGAUGGAUCGCUGGGGACAGAGUCAAGGAGGUGAACUCAGUGGCUCAUGGGCUGGGGCGGAGGGAAGGGGAGGGUGACCUCCUGGAAGUCUCCCAGGUUUCCAGCUUUUGUUGGCAGCUGGGGGAGGGGAUGAACUAUCCCUUCCAGCUUCCCUCCCUCCUGCCCAAAGCCCAGAAUGUUCCCCCCAGACCAUGAAAAGCGUGUUGGCUCCCCUCCCUGCCCCACCUUCCCUCCCCCAACUGUUUGCCUGGAGUCCCCAGGGAGGAGAGAGAGAGAAGGAGAUGAAAUCAUGGAACAAAGAGGAUUAGAGACGCAUUUCUUCCCUUCUCUACAAUGGAAAACUCUCGAAAUGUUGGUGUGGCUCAUCCAGGGCCAAGAUGGGAUGCGAGUCAGUGCCAACAGAAGGGUGAGCUCAUCGCAUGCGGGGAUGUGAGGUGUUUCCAGCAAGGCACAGUGUGGAAAAAAAGGCUCCCUGCCCGGAAUCCCAAGUCCCUUGUCAAAGCAGAACCCUUUGACCCUCCCAUCACCUCCCUCCUCCAUCAUUAGCCUGUCACCUUCCCUCUCCAUCAGCUCCCACCUCCACUGUCUGAGUCCACUUCCAUGCUAUUCCUCUAUCUUCCCGCAUCUGUGACUGAAUACCUCUCAACAGCCUUGAGCAUCUGUGCACAUUCUUGUUUGCUCCAUGAGGGAAGAGCCCAGGCUUUGGAAUCUGAGAGACCUCAGCUCAAAUCCCAUGGUGAUGUGGUGCUAGACAAGGGCCUGUCUGGGCCUCCGUGAUCUCAUCUGUUACCAUGCUAGAUGGGAAAGUACCUAGCACACAGUAGGUGUUCAUUUAUUCCCUUCCUCCCUCCUUCUUGUGGAUGCAAAGGAUAUUGUAUAAUUAAAGUAAGACUUUGGGGUUUACAAAUGUCAAAUUCCCACAACUCUGGGAAAUAGGGGGUCACUGGUUAUUUGUCGUUUUCAUCACCAGUCCUGUCAUAGCCUAAGGUUGACACAAGUCACUCUGAACAAAACCAAGAAUUAAGAAGAGGGAUUUCAAAUGUUCAGAGCAGCACUAUUUACAAUAAAAGCAUUAUUUACAACA
ensembl:lncRNA